AGAGUUUGAUCAUGGCUCAGAACGUACGCUGGCGGCACGCCUAACACAUGCAAGUCGAACGAAGUAGCAAUACUUAGUGGCAGACGGGUGAGUAACAUGUAGGUAUCUGCCCUUUGGCCUGGAAUAACACGAGGAAACUUGUGCUAAUACCGGAUAAGUCUUUACGGAGAAAGCUUUAUGCACCAUUGGAUGAGCCUGCACUUGAUUAGUUUGUUGGUGGGGUAAUGGCCUACCAAGACUGUGAUCAAUAGCUGAUUUGAGAGGAUGAUCAGCCACAUUGGGACUGAGACACGGCCCAAACUCUUACGGGAGGCAGCAGUGGGGAAUCUUGCACAAUGGAGGAAACUCUGAUGCAGCGAUGCCGCGUGAGUGAAGAAGGCCCUUGGGUUGUAAAGCUCUUUCGUCGGGGAAGAAAAUGACUGUACCCGAAUAAGAAGGUCCGGCUAACUUCGUGCCAGCAGCCGCGGUAAUACGAAGGGACCUAGCGUAGUUCGGAAUUACUGGGCUUAAAGAGUUCGUAGGUGGUUGAAAAAGUUAGUGGUGAAAUCCCAGAGCUUAACUCUGGAACUGCCAUUAAAACUUUUCAGCUAGAGUAUGAUAGAGGAAAGCAGAAUUUCUAGUGUAGAGGUGAAAUUCGUAGAUAUUAGAAAGAAUACCAAUUGCGAAGGCAGCUUUCUGGAUCAUUACUGACACUGAGGAACGAAAGCAUGGGUAGCGAAGAGGAUUAGAUACCCUCGUAGUCCAUGCCGUAAACGAUGUGUGUUAGACGUUGGAAAUUUAUUUUCAGUGUCGCAGGGAAACCGAUAAACACACCGCCUGGGGAGUACGACCGCAAGGUUAAAACUCAAAUGAAUUGACGGGGACCCGCACAAGUAGUGGAGCAUGUGGUUUAAUUCGAAGAUACGCGCAGAACCUUACCAACACUUGACAUGUUCGUCGCGACUCUAAGAGAUUAGAGUUUUCGGUUCGGCCGGACGAAACACAGGUGCUGCAUGGCUGUCGUCAGCUCGUGUCGUGAGAUGUUGGGUUAAGUCCCGCAACGAGCGCAACCCUCACUUUUAGUUGCCAUCAUUAAGUUGGGCACUCUGAAAGAACUGCCAGUGAUAAGCUGGAGGAAGGUGGGGAUGACGUCAAGUCCUCAUGGCCCUUACGUGUUGGGCUACACACGUGCUACAAUGGUAUCUACAACAGGAAGCAAGACUGCGAAGUUAAGCAAAUCCCUAAAAGAUACCUCAGUUCGGAUUGCACUCUGCAACUCGAGUGCAUGAAGCUGGAAUUACUAGUAAUCGUGGAUCAGCGUGCCACGGUGAAUGCGUUCCCGGGUCUUGUACACACCGCCCGUCACACCAUGGGAGUUGGUUCUACCUUAAGGCAAGGUUUCAAACCCUUGACCACGGUAUAGUCAGCGACUGGGGUGAAGUCGUAACAAGGUA
rnacentral:rRNA from 1 species